rnacentral:rRNA from 1 species
GGUUAAGUGACUAAGCGUACACGGUGGAUGCCUUGGCAGUCAGAGGCGAUGAAGGACGUAGUAACUUGCGAUAAGCGUAGAUGAGGCAGUAACAGCCACUUGAGUCUACGAUUUCCGAAUGGGGAAACCCACUGGCAUAAGCCAGUAUCAUUGAGUGAAUACAUAGCUCAAUGAAGCGAACCGGGAGAACUGAAACAUCUAAGUACCCCGAGGAAAAGAAAUCAACCGAGAUUCCGAAAGUAGCGGCGAGCGAAAUUGGAUUAGCCCUUAAGCUUUACAUGUGUUAGACGAACGGUCUGGAAAGUCCGACGAUACAGGGUGAUAGUCCCGUAGUUGUAGAUGCAUGUUCAGUGAAAUCGAGUAGGGCGGGACACGUGUUAUCCUGUCUGAAUAUGGGGGGACCAUCCUCCAAGGCUAAAUACUCCUGACUGACCGAUAGUGAACCAGUACCGUGAGGGAAAGGCGAAAAGAACCCCUGUGAGGGGAGUGAAAUAGAACCUGAAACCGUGUACGUACAAGCAGUAGGAGCACCUUCGUGGUGUGACUGCGUACCUUUUGUAUAAUGGGUCAGCGACUUAUAU